GGGUUUGUAUAAUUCUGUGGUUUGCAGUUGUGGCAGUGCCAAGUGUUUGUCCGUGACUCAGAGGGAUGAAUAGUCAGAAGCAGGCAAGCAAUCCGUUAGCUUGGCGCAGGCGCUGGUAGUGUCAGGAGGUUAGCCUCUACCAAAAGAGGAGAAAUGCAGAUCCUGGCUUUGGAGGUGUUUAACGGCACAUUUGACGGAGCUGAGGACCGAGUAACAAAAGUGAUGAAUCCUUGUUGCUGCCACUGGAGAUGGGAUGUCAGUGUUAUCCACACAAACACAACUAAACAAGGAAACACAGCAGGAUUCAAGUAAACAGCUUAGAACCUGCUGGUUGUGAUGCAGCCGAGAGAUAUAUCUGUUGACAUGGUGAUCAAAGCCGAGCACUGAUGGCACGACUUCAGUGUGAGUCGACGCGGAAGGUUCAGCUCAGAAGGAUCAAGGGUCUUUAUCGCAGAGGAAGCUGCUGAAUUCAAAGCGAUGAAGGUGCCACAACCCAAGCUUCUUCUCUCUGGUUCCGCUCAGUGUUUGGUUUUGAAUCAAAUAUCCAAACACAACAUGAGAUCCAAUAAAAAUGUAUUGAUCCUUGU